UACGGGGGGGGCAAGCGUUGUUCGGAAUUACUGGGCGUAAAGGGCUCGUAGGCGGUCAACUAAGUCAGACGUGAAAUCCCUCGGCUUAACCGGGGAACUGCGUCUGAUACUGGAUGGCUUGAGGUUGGGAGAGGGAUGCGGAAUUCCAGGUGUAGCGGUGAAAUGCGUAGAUAUCUGGAGGAACACCGGUGGCGAAGGCGGCAUCCUGGACCAAUUCUGACGCUGAGGAGCGAAAGCCAGGGGAGCAAACGGG
rnacentral:rRNA from 1 species